UCUCCUGCAGCUCAGUGGUAGAGCGUCCUACCAGUGUGCGGAAGGUCAUACUAGGUUCUACUCCUGUUGGGGGAA